rnacentral:rRNA from 1 species
GACGAACGCUGGCGGCGUGCUUAACACAUGCAAGUCGAACGGAAAGGCACUGCUUUCGUGGGGUGCUCGAGUGGCGAACGGGUGAGUAACACGAGAGUAACCUGCCCUUGACUUUGGGAUAACAUAAGGAAAGUGGAGCUAAUACAGGAUAGGAGAUCCUGCAGCAUGGAGGGGGUUGGAAAGUUUCGGCGGUUGGGGAUGGACGCGCGGGUUACCGGCUUGUUGGUGGGGUAGUGGCAUACCGAGGCUUUGACGGGUAGGCGGCCUGGGAGGGGGACCGGCCACAAUGGUACUACGGUACGGCGCAGACUGCAACGUUGGGCAACAGUGGGGAGUAUUGUACAGUGGGCGGGAGCCUGAUGCGACGGCGCCGCGGUUGUAAUGACGGCCUUCGGGGUGUAAACCGCAUUCGCCUAUGACGAAGCUUUAGUGACGGUAAUGGGUAAAGAAGCACCGGCUAACUACGUG